AAGUAGGGGGCAAGCGUUGUCCGGAAUGAUUGGGCGUAAAGGGCGAGUAGGCGGCCUGGUAAGUCUGGAGUGAAAGUCCUGCUUUUAAGGUGGGAAUUGCUUUGGAUACUGUCGGGCUUGAGUGCAGGAGAGGUAAGUGGAAUUCCCGGUGUAGCGGUAAAAUGCGUAGAGAUCGGGUGGAACAGCAGUGGCGAAGGCGACUUACUGGACUGUAACUGACGCUGAGGCUCGAAAGUGUGUUGAGCAAACAG
rnacentral:rRNA from 1 species